rnacentral:sRNA from 1 species
CAAAUACAAUAAAAAAAAAAAGAAAGAAAAGAAUAAUAAUUCAACGGCUCGGCAACGCAAAGCAACAGCAAAAAUUAUAAAAUAUUUUACGCCUGCUGUUUUGAGUUGAGUCUUCUAUGAAGUAAAGAAACGGUGAACGAAAGAACAACAACAAAUAGAAAAGUGAGAGCAGACGUAUUUUUUUUUAUUGUUAAGCGAAAAAGUGUUGGUGUGUGUCGAGAGUAAGAUAGAGAGGGCGUGAGAUACACACAUCCAAAAAAAAAAAAAAAAGGAGGAACACA